GGACUUGAAAAAGUCUGGUCUUAUUUUGGAAAUCCUAUCCAUCUGUAUUACGCUGGCUUUAGGGAAGUCGAAGAGGUUGUGAAACCCAUGAAGAGCUUUCAACCUGGAACAAAACUAACUCCAGACCUAGAAUUUGCAGUCGUUUUAGGAAACGCUCAAUUGCAGUGAGAAAACUGAAGUAGUAAGUGUUAAGACGCGUCACGAUCCGCGCCACCCUUGUUUUUACCCAGCACAAAUAUGUACUCAAGUCCCGGGUUGGCUGGCUCCAGAGGAAACACAGCAGGGCAGAGGGUCAUGGUGAAGGAAAACUGUUCAUCCUUGGUGGCUAGGGAGCAGAGAACCAAGAGGGGAGCUGGGAAGGAAGACACACACCUCCAGAUAAUGCCCUCAGCAACCUGCCUCUUCUGACCAGACCCCAUCGACUAACUGCCAGUGAUUGGCAAACUGUGAGCCUAGUUUGGUAACCGUUUGAUGAACCAGCCAGGCAAAUCCAAACAACUUUUCCAUGGCUUGACAGCCCUUUGUUAGCAUCGAGAUCCUGAAGUCCGAGCAGGUCCCUGGAUCACUUGUCCCAGCUCCUGUCCCUGGGUUUUUCCCGACUUUGAAACCACCAAUCUUCCGUGUACUUUUUCAACAAAGAAAUGGUUUCUGGAUCUGAGUGGCAUGUUAUCUGGAUGAUGUGAAGGUCUUCUCUCUGCAGAAUAAUAUUCACCACUACCACCACCGUCAGAAUACAACCCUUUCUACUGGUCAGUAGGCAACAAUUAGAGUGAAGUAACUAUAUGUGAUGGC